GACGAACGCUGGCGGCGUGCUUAACACAUGCAAGUCGAACGGAAAGGCCUCUUUCGGGGGGUACUCGAGUGGCGAACGGGUGAGUAACACGUGAGUAACCUGCCCUUUACUUUGGGAUAACUUCAGGAAACUGGGGCUAAUACCGGAUAGGAGCUCCUGCUGCAUGGUGGGGGUUGGAAAGUUUCGGCGGUUGGGGAUGGACUCGCGGCUUAUCCGCUUGUUGGUGGGGUAGUGGCUUACCAAGGCUUUGACGGGUAGCCGGCCUGAGAGGGUGAGCGGCGACAUUGGGACUGAGAUACGGCCCAGACUCCUACGGGAGGCAGCAGUGGGGAAUAUUGCACAAUGGGUGGAAGCCUGAUGCAGCAACGCCGUGGGCGGGAUGGCGGCCUUCGGGUUGUAAACCGCUUUCGCUCAUGACGAAGCUUUGUGUGACGGUAGUGGGUAAAGAAGCACCGGCUAACUACGUG
rnacentral:rRNA from 1 species